AGCCUUCUGCCCCCGUACGCGGACUGCCAUAUUUCUUUAACCUACGUUUUUAACAGGGAGCCGAAAAAUGCUUGCCGACCACAUGCCCUUCGGGGACUUGGAACGCAACAGAUACGGCACCCACCUUCAAGGUGAAGGGUUAAAAGAAUGUUGGCGAUACGACGGGGGCGGUUUUUUA
rnacentral:other from 1 species